GCCUGGCCCUAAAUCUAGAUGCUUGCCCUACCAAAGCAUCCGCCCGAGAACUACGAGCGCAAACGCUUAAAACUCUAAGGACUUGGCGGUGCCCCAAACCCACCUAGAGGAGCCUGUCCUAUAAUCGACAACCCACGAUACACCCGACCAUUUCUUGCAAGAAACAACAGCCUACAUACCGCCGUCGCCAGCUCACCUUCACUGAGAGUACAAUAGUGAGCACAAUCGCCCUAACCCCGCUAGCACGACAGGUCAAGGUAUAGCCUAUGAAAUGGAAGAGAUGGGCUACAUUUUCUAACCUAGAAAACCCUUGCUCCACGAAAGGGAACGUGAAACAGCUCCCAGAAGGCGGAUUUAGUAGUAAAGCGGGACAAUAAAGCCCCCUUAAACCUGGCUCUGAGGCAC
rnacentral:rRNA from 1 species